UACAGAGGGUGCAAGCGUUGUUCGGAAUUAUUGGGCGUAAAGCGCGUGUAGGCGGCUUUGCAAGUCGGGUGUGAAAGCCCUCGGCUCAACCGAGAGUGCGCCCGAAACUGCGAGAGCUUGAGUACCGGAGAGGAGUGGCGGAAUUCCCCAAGUAGAGGUAGAAAUUCGUAGAUAUGGGGAAGGAACACCGGUGGCGGAAGGCGGGCUCACUGGCCCCGGUACUGACGCUGAGGUGCGAAGGUCAGGGGAGCAAACGGG
rnacentral:rRNA from 1 species